rnacentral:rRNA from 1 species
UUUGGAGGGCAAGUCUGGUGCCAGCAGCCGCGGUAAUUCCAGCUCCAAUAGCGUAUAUUAAAGUUGUUGCAGUUAAAAAGCUCGUAGUUGAAUUUCGGGAUCAGUGUGUCUGGUCGUGCCUUCGGUAUGUACUGGUGUCACUGGUUCCUACCUUCUGAAGAACCGUGAUGUCAUUAAUUUGGUGUGGCGGGGAAUCAGGACUGUUACUUUGAAAAAAUUAGAGU